GACGAACGCUGGCGGCGUGCUUAACACAUGCAAGUCGAACGGAAAGGCCCCUUUGGGGGUACUCGAGUGGCGAACGGGCGAGUAACACGUGAGUAACCUGCCCUUGACUUCGGGAUAACUUCAGGAAACUGGGGCUAAUACCGGAUAGGAAUCCUUGCUGCAUGGUGGGGGUUGGAAAGCUUCGGCGGUUUUGGAUGGACUCGCGGCCUAUCAGCUUGUUGGUGGGGUAGUGGCUUACCAAGGCGUUGACGGGUAGCCGGCCUGAGAGGGCGACCGGCCACAUUGGGACUGAGGUCCGGCCCCGACUCCUACGGGAGGCAGCCGUGGGGAAUAUUGCACAAUGGGCGGCAGCCUGAUGCAGCAACGCCGCGUGCGGGAUGACGGCCUUCGGGUUGUAAACCGCUUUCAGCAGGGGCGAAGCUUGUGGUGACGGUACCUGCAGAAGAAGCACCGGCUAACUACGUG
rnacentral:rRNA from 1 species